rnacentral:rRNA from 1 species
CAUUCGAGUGGCGGACGGGUGAGUAACGCGUGGGUAACCUGCCUUACACAGGGGGAUAACACCUGGAAACAGGUGCUAAUACCGCAUAAGCGCACAGGGCCGCAUGGCCCGGUGUGAAAAACUCCGGUGGUGUAAGAUGGACCCGCGUCUGAUUAGCUUGUUGGCGGGGUAGAGGCCCACCAAGGCGACGAUCAGUAGCCGGCCUGAGAGGGUGGACGGCCACAUUGGGACCGAGACACGGCCCAAACUCCUACGGAAGGCAGCAG